rnacentral:lncRNA from 1 species
UUUUUUUGUUUUUUAAGGUUCUGUUUUGUUCUUUGGAUUGGAACAUAGUUCUCUGUCAUUGCAUUUUGCCUAAUUUUCUGCGUCGUUUUUAUGUAUUAGGCAUUAUCAGCUCUCUCUCCCAGUCUUGAAGGAGUAGCCCCACUUGGGAGAUGUCCGGUGGGACUCAGAAAUGCAAUCUCAUCUGGCCACAGAGCCGGGAGCUCCACGGAUGUUCCCUACGUGGGCUCUGGGUGCUCUCAUGCUAUAGUGGGGCUGCAGCUGCCACAGGGCACUGGUGGACAGGGCUGGCCCCUGGACCGGUGGCUGUGUGCUGGUGGGUGGGGCCAUCACGGGGAUGGUUGUGAGGUUUUGCUGAGGUGCAUGGCACACCCACUGACAGGUUAGAGGGAGAAUUUCAAGAUGGUACCAAUCACUGCCAGUAUGGUUCCCACUGGUGUUUCAGUCCUAGCUGGUUCCUGCCUCUCUGUCAGAGGCUUUAAGGUUAGCAAGGGGGUGUCUUUCAUCUAUGCUCCAUGUACUUUUCAAUCUGGUGUUUUUGCACUGAUUUUCAGAUGGAGUGUGUGUUGCACACCAACUCUUUCAAAGAGGGUUUUUCUUUUUUCUUUUGGUCCUUUUGUCUUUAGGGCCACACCUGCAGCAUGUGGAGGUUCCCAGGCUAGGGAUCCAAUCAGAACUGUAGCCAUCGGCCUAUGCAAGAGCCACAGCUCAGUGGGAUUCCAGCUGCAUCUGCAACCUACACCACAGCUCACAGGCAACGCAGGAUCCUCAACCCACUGAGCAAGGCCGGGAAUCAAACCCACAUCUUCAUGGAUGCCAGUCGGGUUUGCUAACUGCUGAGCCACAGUGGAAACUCCCUAAGAGGGCUUUUCUGAUCUCUGAAGUUUUAUGGUAUUCUUGGACAUAUUUAUUCCCUAUUGGUUUUCAAAGCCAUGUGUUUUAGGGGGGCUUGUCUUUCCUUUGCUGGUCUAGGGGUUGGAGGCCUGAUGGGGAGCUCGAAUCCCUCAUGCCUCACUCCUCGGGGAAGGGACACCUUACCUUCGUGAUAAAGGGAACACAUACCAAACCUUGUGAACCCUCUUGAUUGUGGAUCUCUGGGCUGUGUUUUUUCCUCGGUGAGACCAUUUCUACCUCUCGCAGCCAUCGGGAUGCUGUCCUUUACCCUUUGUUGUGGAGACUCGGCUCAAAGUCUUCUGGGCCCUUUCCAAGGGAAUCAUUCCAUAUUGCGUUCCUGGGAACAUAUUAUUCCAUGCUGUGUUCCUGGGAGGAGGUGAGUUCAGGAUCUUGAACCCUCUCCCUCUGAGUCUGAAUGCUUUUGGUUCCUGGUAAAAGUGGGAUCAGGUAAUAUUUGUCCUUCUGUGUCUUUUGGAAGGAAGUGGUAGGGUACCUGCCACAGACUCCUCAUUUACCUCCUGUGACGUUCGAUCACCACGUGGAUCCUGAGACUAAAGAAAGUAUAUUUUGUUGCAUGCUGGAUGUUUUCAUUUACUGGAAAAUUUUAGCAAGGCACACUUGUUAACAAUCUAACUUACUGUGUCAAAACAUGAGUAGGUCCUCUAAUGCCCCAGGGAGAAUUGAACCCAUCUGGGUUCACUUAGCUACCUAUUGUAGCACUUAGUAAAUUUUGGAGUUGCUAUUUUUCACAAGCCUAAUUUAAUGUCUGUCUCUGAUUUCUUAAGGGUAAACCAUAAUUUAUCCCGAAGUGCAUGUUUACAUAUAGUCAAUAAGUAAGCAUGAAAUGAGAUGAAUUCAUACUUGCCUAAUGUUUAACUGGUAGAUGUUAAUAUCAGCCUUAUUAUUAAAAACUAUUUCUAUUUUCUUGAGGAUGGUUACGUGAAAUAAAUAAUUCUGUGACAAAUUAGAUCAGACAGUCUUCCUCGGUAAACUGCAUUCGUUCUGAAUUUUUUAGAUGUUUCAGCAAACCUGGCUUAUUAGGCCCUGGAAUAACAUUAACUACAAAAAUGUAGGCUGCUUCUAUGUAUGAGAAAUGCCAAAUGUGAAGCUGGAAAACAUAAAGUCAAAAGGUGUAUCUAGAUAAUUUAUGGGUCCCCUCAAAAUUUUUCAAAGGCUAACUUUGCAACAACUUAGCCAUCAAUAUUUUGUAAAAUUUUCAGCCUGUAUUGAAAUUGUAUCGUCUGUAAUUUCUCAGAGGGAGAGAGAUGAAGGUGUAAAUGAUCAAAAUGCAGAUCAUAUGAAGCCACAACAAUCUUAAACAUGUUUUGAGCUUUUAGCGUAAAGCAAUAGUUAAUAUGAAAAUAUACUCCUUUUUUUAAAACAGAGUAUAACACUGGGUAAGCUAUGAAUAUUUGAAGCUGUGAAUAUUAAAGUGUCUAAUAAAAUAUACACUAAAGGUCAAUUUUUUGCAAAACUAGAUAUCCUCAAUUAUGCAAAACUCAUGAUUCACCUUUGGUGCUACAUUAUAACCAUUUCCAGGACCUUAGGCCCUUUACUAGAAAAUGGAUGGGCUGAGAGAAAAAACUCAUUUGAAUUAAGUGUUUAUGUUUCUGGGCUGUUUGAAAGAGUAGCAUCUUUUUCAACCUCUGCCUUCUUUAGCGCUUAGCAGGCAUCCCAGACAAAUUCCAAUUUCUUGAAAUAUUUCCUAUCGGGAAAGAAAGCCUAUUAGCAGUUAAUAAUGUCAGUUGCUAAGGAUAAUCUUCUUCAGGCUGCUUUCAUCAGGGUAUAAUCCCCCAAUCUGCAGAAAACAGCUCUUGAGUGCCACGGCCAAGGCUUUCCUGUAACUCUCUUAUUCACUUGAACUUGUUUUGCUCCCUUCUGGGGUUAUUUAUUUAUUUAUUUUUUCUUCACUGCAAAUCAGUCGAUUUUAGACUCAUUUUAAGGCAUGGUUUUCAGAUUAAUGCUAUGUCUUUGCUUUCUCAUGCAUCAGUCAUCUCAUCAGAAACAUCUUUCCUUUGCCAUAGUAAUCUGUGUCUAAGAACUCCUUCCAGGCGGAGGAGAUAAGAGACUGCUCAGCUUAAUUCCAUGCCAUGCUGGUCACUCCAUCCCUGGUCAGUUCUCCACUCACUGGGGUUCUCUACCUCUUCUUGAUACACUUUAUGGCUGUUUUACUUUCACUUCAGUUAUAAGCUUACAUUUGCCUAAGCUGUCAUUUAGUGAUUCCAAAACUUGAUUAUUGUUAGAAUCACCUAAAGGUGCUUUAAAAAUAAAGUUUCCAUGGCUCCCUACCUUAGAUUUACUGAAACUAAAUCUCUAGCCUUUAUGCUGCAUAAUAUAUAUUUUCAAAUCACUUCAUGGGGUAUGACUGAUACUCAGAACGCCAUAUAUAUUUAAUGAAUAGGUGAUAAGAAUACAUCUGUGGAAAAAAAUUGAAUUUGUGUAUUCUCCUAACGGAGAGGUUGUGCUAAUCUUUCUGCAUUGUUAAUAUUAUUAUUUUUUUUUCCCCUUGGCCAUGCCCCUGGCAGGCAGAAGUUACCAGGCCAGGAAUGGAAUCUGUGCCACAGCAGUGACAAUGCCAGAUUCUUAGCCAUUAGGCCACCAGGGAAAUCCUUCUCUGUAUUGUUCUAAUUUUAGUAUAUGUAUUGCUGACAUGAGCACUGCGAUCUAUAUUUUUAUUUUCUAUUUAAAGCAACUCUCUGGUGGAUUUUUAAUGCAACCAAUUUGCUAAGCACAUAGCAUGUUCCAUCAGCUUAGAUAUCCUAUAAACGCUAUUACUUGAGUGUAAAGAAGUUUACACUCACCUUUCUGCUGGGACUUGCAGAUGGCUGCAAAAACACCAUGUUUUCCUAAGACCUGAUGGCUCUCAAACUUCUUCCAGGUUGAGAACUGUUCCUUUAGCAGAGAAUGUAACAAAAGCCAGCGGGUCAGGUCUGGCCUGAGGAGGCAAGUGGGGGGCAAAUAAAUACAAGAUCGAUGUUUUGUCAAAAAAUCCUUACCACCAACUAUGCGUUGGCAUCACUUAAAGUUUUAAUUCAUAACUCAUCAUAUCGAUUUUUUGAAUGACCAACCUUGUUUAUUUCUCCUGUUUCAUCAUUCUUAUCUCAUCUUAUUCAAAUGAAUUCUUCUCUUCCUUUCUUAAAUCUUUCCUUCUCUGUAUGGGAAUCUUUCCUUUUAUUUCUCUUAUUCCCAUCCACAAAUUUCUGUCCUAAAAUCCAAUGAUUUGGCUCAUCCCCUUGUCACCAUUUAUGACUGUACUUACGUCAUCCCAUUCUAUUAUUUUAAAAAUUAAAAGAACUUAUACAUGCACAGUAAAAUAAAUCUGAAAAGUCUUUUUUUUUUUCCCUUAGAAAGUCAUGUGUAUGGGUACCUUUCAUGUUCCUGCAAUAUUCUUUCCUACAAAGCAGAUCCAAGUAUUUACCUUAAAGUUGAACACAUUUUGUGUUACUUUAUCGCUAGGGAUUUGAGUCCAUGGGAAACUCUUGGAAGACAUCUCAGGAUUGCUGUGGUAACAUCGUGUAUCAUAAAGGAAUCUUCUGCUGAGUUUUUCACUAACAUUGCCCUUUUACUGAAAACAGCAGGAAAGCCAUUUUACACUACCAAUGGACUCUUUUUUUUUCCCCUAAAAUGCACAUUAAUUAUAUCAUGUCCUCUUUAUAAACUCUUUUAUGGUCAUAAUUAUCUGCUGGAUAAAUCCCAAACUCUUUAGCAAGUUUCUUCUUAAGCAAGUCCAUAAGGUUUCCAGCUGUGGCACCCAUCACCUCCCCUUAGACACUUUUUGGGGGUAUUUUUGAUGAAAACAUUAUCAGUUUCUUACAUGAGCCACACACAUAUAUACAUGUGCUGUAUACAUAAACUAAACGUAUAUACAUGAGCUGGAUACUCUCUGCCUGGAAUAUCUUUCUCCAUAAUGACCUUUCUGCCGGGUAUCUAGCUCUUGCUUCAUGAAUCCUGUUAAACUUUCAUGAAUGCCCAGAUGAAAUCGCUUUGAACUGCUUUGAACUUCCAGAACUCAGGGACAGAGCUCUGUUACAGAAUAUCUUGUUACACCAUAAUUAUGGAUGUUCAUGUUACUAUUGCACUUAGCUGUGAGAAUCUUAAAGGCACUGCUGGUAUAUUUUAUUCAUGGUUAACUUUCCAAAGGCUGCAAUAUUAUGGGUCCUUAAUGAAUGCUAACGGUAUUUUAAGUCUUUAAUAAAUGCAAGCAUCUUUUGACCCCCUUGUGGCUUUUAGUCAAUUUAUGUUGUGUUUGAAGUAAGCUCGCUCGCUCUCUCUCUUUUUUCAGUUUUAUUGAGAUAUAAUUGAUGGCACUGUAUAUGUUUAAGAUGUGCAGCAUACUGUUUUGACUUGCAUAUAUUGUGAAGUGAUUACCACAAUAAAUUUAGUUAACACCUAUCAUCUAAUAGAGUUACAGAAAAA